UGGGGUACACCCGAUCCCAUUCCGAACUCGGAAGUUAAGCC
rnacentral:rRNA from 1 species